GACGAACGCUGGCGGCGUGCCUAAUACAUGCAAGUAGAACGCACAGUUUAUACCGUAGCUUGCUACACCAUAGACUGUGAGUUGCGAACGGGUGAGUAACGCGUAGGUAACCUGCCUGGUAGCGGGGGAUAACUAUUGGAAACGAUAGCUAAUACCGCAUAAUAUUGAUUAUUGCAUGAUAAUUGAUUGAAAGAUGCUAUUGCAUCACUACCAGAUGGACCUGCGUUGUAUUAGCUAGUAGGUGAGGUAACGGCUCACCUAGGCGACGAUACAUAGCCGACCUGAGAGGGUGAUCGGCCACACUGGGACGGGGACACGGCCCAGACUCCUACGGGAGGCAGCAGUAGGGAAUCUUCGGCAAUGGACGGAAGUCUGACCGAGCAACGCCGCGUGAGUGAAGAAGGUUUUCGGAUCGUAAAGCUCUGUUGUAAGAGAAGAACGGGUGUGAGAGUGGAAAGUUCACACUGUGACGGUAUCUUACCAGAAAGGGACGGCUAACUACGUG
rnacentral:rRNA from 1 species